AUGCUUGCUUCAGCAGCAUAUAGACUAAAUUAGAAUGACACAGAGAAAAUUAUCAUGGCUCCUGCACAAGGAUGACAGGCAAAUUUGUGAAGCAAAAUUUUU